rnacentral:lncRNA from 1 species
CCUUGCUGAGGCUGGGGCAACCACCGCAGGUCGAGACAGCAGGCGGCUCAAGUGGACAGCCGGGAUGGCAGAGCGUGCGGCGCUGGAGGAGCUGGUGAAACUUCAGGGAGAGCGCGUGCGAAGGGCUUGAGCAUCCAUGGAUUUUUGGUAUUCACAUGGGGCCCAGAACAAAUCUCCUGUGGAUACUGAGGGAUGAUUCUAUUUAAUACAUGUAUUUGAAAUUGAAUUCCAAAGGAGAGGGGAGAUGGUCUGUUUUCCUUGUGUUAAGGUUAAUUCUUUGGGAUCCUAAAUUCAUUGAGCUGUUUCUUUCUACAUAUAACUAAUUUUUGAAGGUUAAAGAGACAGUGUAAAAUCCCAAAGUGGUGAUCAUCAAUGAUUUUUCAAACUAUUAGAUGAAAAGCUUACUGUGGAAUUUAUGAUGGAUCAGUCUGUCCUCACUAGUGAUCAGUUUUAACAUCACUAAAAGUAGGACAACUAGACAUUAUGUUCCUGCUGAUGUGAUGCAAGAAGAAGUACACAGCACCACCUGGGAAGUAUUCUUGCCAAGUAAAUUGAACUUGAAUCUAAUCAGAUCUUUGGACUAACUAUCAGUUUACAGGAAAUACUAGAGAUGGA